UCCAGACUCCUACGGGAGGCAGCAGUGGGGGAUAUUGCACAAUGGGGGGAACCCUGAUGCAGCGACGCCGCGUGGGUGAAGGAGCGUUUCGGCGCGUAAAGCCCUAUCGGCAGGGAAGAAGGAGGACGGUACCUGACUAAGAAGCCCCGGCUAACUACGUGCCAGCAGCCGCGGUAAUACGUAGGGGGCAAGCGUUAUCCGGAUUUACUGGGUGUAAAGGGGGCGCAGACGGCAGCGCAAGCCAGGAGUGAAAGCCCGGGGCCCAACCCCGGGACUGCUCUUGGAACUGCGCGGCUGGAGUGCAGGAGGGGCAGGCGGAAUUCCUGGUGUAGCGGCGAAAUGCGUAGAUAUCAGGAGGAACACCGGUGGCGAAGGCGGCCUGCUGGACUGCGACUGACGUUGAGGCCCGAAAGCGUGGGGAGCAAACAGGAUUAGAUACCCCCGUAC
rnacentral:rRNA from 1 species